rnacentral:rRNA from 1 species
CCUACGGGAGACAGCAGUGAGGAAUAUUGGUCAAUGGGCGCAAUCCUGAACCAGCCAAGCCGCGUGCGGGACGACGGUUCUAUGAAUUGUAAACUUCUUUUGUCGGGGAGCAAAAGACGCCACGCGUGGCGUUCCGAGAGUACCCGAAGAAAAAGCAUCGGCUAACUCCGUGCCAGCAGCCGCGGUAAUACGGAGGAUGCGAGCGUUAUCCGGAUUUAUUGGGUUUAAGGGGUGCGCAGGUGGAAGAUCAAGUCAGCGGUAAAAUCUCGAGGCUCAAACUCGUCGAGCCGUUGAAACUGGUUUACUAGAGUGCGCGAGAAGUAGGCGGAAUGCGUGGUGUAGCGGUGAAAUGCAUAGAUAUCACGCAGAACACCGAUUGCGAAGGCAGCAUACCGGCGCUCAACUGACGCUGAUGCACGAAAGUGUGGGGAUCGAACAGGAUUAGAUACCCCUGUAGUC